GGCGCCCAGAGAAAUACGCGGAAAAUUCAAAUAAUUAAUUAAAAAAUCGGAAAAAAUCGGAAAAAAUCAGAAAAAAUCAGAAAAAAUCAAAAAAAAUUAGAAAAAAUUGGAAAAAAGUAGAGAAUAUUAAGAAGAAUCAGAAACAAAUUCAGAAUAAAUCUGGGAUGGUGUAACUCUAGUUGCAUAUCAGAAAACGCUCCCAGGGCCAUGGAAAGAUGCGGUAAUUGACAAAUCAAUUGGAAUGGGUGCAUCUUUAUGGUCUCUCUUGUUCAUCUUGACGUGUGUGGCUCCACGCGCAAAUGACGUUUGCAGGGCGUACAAGACACAAGGAGUGCCCCAAGCCCAACAGAUGAGCUUAGAAAAGAUUCACUGGCCAGUCGAGAGACGAGGAUCUGGGUUUUCUUCUUAACGAUGUGAUUCUCUUUGCUCCGAUGCCAUUUCCAGGUUACCUGCAUCUUGGAGGCCUCCAUACAGCUCUGUGCAACAUGGUGCAGCUAUAUAUCAGCUAUUCAAACCAAGGAAAUUAUAUUCUACGCUAGAAGACACAGAUCAAACAGGACUCGUACCAGAUGCUGCUGGUAAACUCCAAGUGAGGCAAAGAGAAUCUUACUGCGACAGUUUCAAGGUACAAGAAACAUGUUUGGCUGGUGAUUCGACUCGGAGAGGAUAACUGGGUUCAUAAUAACGCCAAGUAUAUCUAUGGAGCAUGACUGUAGGUGCUACAGCAAGACGAGAGGGAUGUAGGCAAGGUGUUGUUGCAUAAUAUCAGUGUCUUUUAUGACUAAUAUAAGCAUGAUCUCUAUUUUGGUUUCAGUUUUUUAUUUCGAAUACAAGGAUGCUCUAAUCAAAUGAUCGUAAACCAACUCAGAGAAGGAAACUCUGACGAUAAGGUUGUACUGAAGGGAGAAUUGCCACCGCUCCUUCAACUUGCAGAUUCGAUUCGCAAAAUCCUGAGUGGAGGAUGGUCAACCAAUUUCUGUGCGCUAUUUAUCCGGUAUCAGCACUUUCUGACGAGCAUCUCCUUACCUAGAACAGAAAGUGUGCUUACACCUGCCAGUUUGAAAAUUGCAAAAUAAUUAUCAUACACAUGCAUAGCGUCGAAUAGUUGAUGUAUGCGAAUAAGUCUUUAUGCAAUGUAUUCAUAAGUUCUAUUCAUUUGAAUUACCGGGGCAAUAUUGUAUCAUUGAAAUGAACAUUAUAGAUCUUGUGAAAGAUAUUGCAAAGUUUUCAAUAAUUAUUUGAAUAAUGUAUGUAUGCUGAAUGUAUUCCUUGCAUAACUCAUGAAUAAAUGACAGGCUAUUUUCAAACUG